rnacentral:rRNA from 1 species
GACGAACGCUGGCGGCGUGCUUAACACAUGCAAGUCGAACGGAAAGGCCCUGCUUUUGUGGGGUGCUCGAGUGGCGAACGGGUGAGUAACACGUGAGUAACCUGCCCUUGACUUUGGGAUAACUUCAGGAAACUGGGGCUAAUACCGGAUAGGAGCUCCUGCUGCAUGGUGGGGGUUGGAAAGUUUCGGCGGUUGGGGAUGGACUCGCGGCUUAUCAGCUUGUGGGUGGGGUAGUGGCUUACCAAGGCUUUGACGGGUAGCCGGCCUGAGAGGGUGACCGGCCACAUUGGGCCUAAGAUACGGCCCAGACUCCUACGGGAGGCAGCAGUGGGGAAUAUUGCACAAUGGGCGGAAGCCUGAUGCAGCAACGCCGCGUGCGGGAUGACGGCCUUCGGGUUGUAAACCGCUUUCGCCUGUGACGAAGCGUGAGUGACGGUAAUGGGUAAAGAAGCACCGGCUAACUACGUG